rnacentral:lncRNA from 1 species
GUGUUCCUGGCUAGCAGCUAACCUGCUGCAGCUGAGCUGCUCAGAACCAUCCACCCAGCUCGGAGACAGUUUCUAGCUGCCUAGAGUGGAGGUAGGCCUCGGCUUUCAGCAGAGGCUUCCUCUGGCCACUGCUGCCGGAAAGCCGCAUCUGUUUCAGUGGUUGUGGCCACAAGACCAUAUACUCUCUAAGAUAAGUGCAGAUGCUUUUGUGAACUCUCUACCGCUGACCGACUGCUGCCAAACACCGCGGACUAACUGAACACCUGUGCCACCCACUGGUCAAAGAUAAUUACUGCAUAUGGAGUAGAAAUCAGGUACAAAUGAUGGACCUUCAGAGGAGCCAAAGGCCCUGCCAUUGAAGUGGCUUACAGAUGAACCAGUUUGGGUAGGACAAUGGCCUAUGACCUCUGAGAAGCUAGAGGCUUUAGAAAAGUUAGUACAGGAACAGCUAGAUGCUGGACAUAUAAAGGAAUCUACCAGUCCUUGGAAUUCUCCUGUAUUUGUUACCAAAAAGAAGUCAGGACAAACAGCUGCAGAAAGACACUGGACUACGGAGAAAACUGCUGAACUGAAUCAGCCAGUAUACUUCAAAGAUGUACUAACUUCUGAAUGGAAACCAGGACAUGUGUUAUGUUGGGGUUGGGGUUUUGCAUUGGUUUCUACAGGAG